rnacentral:rRNA from 1 species
CCUACGGGCGGCAGCAGUGGGGAAUAUUGCGCAAUGGGCGAAAGCCUGACGCAGCGACGCCGCGUGAGGGAUGAAGGUCUUCGGAUCGUAAACCUCUGUCAGCAGGGAAGCACGGUCCCUGUGCUACUCAGCCGUGAAUUGACGGUACCUGCAAAGGACGCACCGGCUAACUCCGUGCCAGCAGCCGCGGUAAUACGGAGGGUGCGAGCGUUAAUCGGAAUUACUGGGCGUAAAGCGCUCGUAGGCGGUAUGUCAAGUCAAGGGUGAAAUCCCCGCGCUCAACGUGGGAACUGCCUUUGAAACUGGCAAACUGGAGUGUGUGAGAGGAUAGUGGAAUUCGAGGUGUAGGAGUGAAAUCCGUAGAUAUCUGGAGGAACAUCAGUGGCGAAGGCGACUAUCUGGCACAUAACUGACGCUGAGGAGCGAAAGCGUGGGUAGCAAACAGGAUUAGAUACCCGAGUAGUC